AUGAAGACAUAUGUUCCUACUUUAUUGAUAUUCUUGUGGCUGCAACUGGAUGGUCUGAGCCAAGGCAAGCAGGUGGAGCAGCGUCCUUCCAUGCUGAGAGUCCAGGAGGGAUCCAUAGCUGUUAUCAACUGUACAUAUGUUGACAGUAUCUCGUACUACUUCCCUUGGUAUAAGCAAGAACCUGGAAAGCAUCCUAAGCCGAUUAUUGGCAUUCGUUCAAAUGUGGAAAGAAAGCAGGAACAAAGAUUGAUCAUUUCACAUGAUAAGAAAGCCAAACAAUUUUCUCUGCACAUCACAGACACCCAUCAAGGAGACUCUGCCAUGUACUUCUGUGCUACAAGGGCACACUGCUCUCCAGGCACCUAA